CAGGAACCUAUCAAACAAUCAACUGACAGGUCCCAUACCAGAAAGUUUUGCUCAUCUGACCAAACUAAAGUCAUUGGAUUUGUCAAGAAACAAUCUAACUGGGCUGGUUCCAAGCACAUUAAUAGAUAAAAACGACAGUGGUGUACUUCUAUUAAGCAUUUUCCAAAAUCCCAGCCUU